rnacentral:rRNA from 1 species
CCUACGGGAGGCAGCAGUAAGGGAUAUUGGUCAAUGGGGGAAACCCUGAACCAGCAACGUCGCGUGAGGGAAGACUGCCCUAUGGGUUGUAAACCUCUUUUGUCAGGGAGCAACGCCGGCUACGUGUAGCCGGACUGAGAGUACCUGAAGAAAAAGCAUCGGCUAACUCCGUGCCAGCAGCCGCGGUAAUACGGAGGAUGCGAGCGUUAUCCGGAUUUAUUGGGUUUAAAGGGUGCGUAGGCGGAAUGCCAAGUCAGCGGUAAAAUCGCGGGGCUCAACCCCGCUCCGCCGUUGAAACUGGCGUUCUUGAGUGGGCGAGAAGUAUGCGGAAUGCGUGGUGUAGCGGUGAAAUGCAUAGAUAUAAGGAAGAACGCCAGUGGCGAAGGCAGAUGACUGGACGGCAACUGACGGUGAGGCGCGAAAGCGUGGGGAGCAAACAGGAUUAGAUACCCGGGUAGUC